AGUGAACGCUGGCGGUAGGCCUAACACAUGCAAGUCGAACGGCAGCACAGUAAGAGCUUGCUCUUACGGGUGGCGAGUGGCGGACGGGUGAGGAAUACAUCGGAAUCUACUUUUUCGUGGGGGAUAACGUAGGGAAACUUACGCUAAUACCGCAUACGACCUACGGGUGAAAGCAGGGGAUCUUCGUACCUUGCGCGAUUGAAUGCGCCGAUGUCGGAUUAGCUAGUUGGCGGGGUAAAGGCCCACCAAGGCGACGAUCCGUAGCUGGUCUGAGAGGAUGAUCAGCCACACUGGAACUGAGACACGGUCCAGACUCCUACGGGAGGCAGCAGUGGGGAAUAUUGGACAAUGGGCGCAAGCCUGAUCCAGCCAUACCGCGUGGGUGAAGAAGGCCUUCGGGUUGUAAAGCCCUUUUGUUGGGAAAGAAAAGCAGCAGGUUAAUACCCCGCUGUCCUGACGGUACCCAAAGAAUAAGCACCGGCUAACUUCGUG
rnacentral:rRNA from 1 species